UACGUAGGGGGCAAGCGUUAUCCGGAUUUAUUGGGCGUAAAGGGAACGCAGGCAGUCUUUUAAGUCUGAUGUGAAAGCCUUCGGCUUAACCGGAGUAGUGCAUUGGAAACUGGGAGACUUGAGUGCAGAAGAGGAGAGUGGAACUCCAUGUGUAGCGGUGAAAUGCGUAGAUAUAUGGAAGAACACCAGUGGCGAAAGCGGCUCUCUGGUCUGUAACUGACGCUGAGGUUCGAAAGCGUGGGUAGCAAACAGG
rnacentral:rRNA from 1 species